rnacentral:rRNA from 1 species
UACGGGGGGGGUAAGCGUUGUUCGGAUUUACUGGGCGUAAAGAGCGCGCAGGCGGUCGUGCAAGUCGCGUGUGAAAGCCCCCGGCUCAACUGGGGAGGGUCACGCGAUACUGCUCGACUCGAAGGCAGGAGAGGGAAGUGGAAUUCCCGGUGUAGUGGUGAAAUGCGUAGAUAUCGGGAGGAACACCAGUGGCGAAGGCGACUUCCUGGCCUGUUCUUGACGCUGAGGCGCGAAAGCUAGGGGAGCAAACGGG